CUCGUUCAACCUGAUUUUUCUACAGUGGCCAAAUGAAACACAUAUGACUCGUCUGCUUUAUUGCCGACAGCUAUUUCCCUAACCCGUGCUUCGUUCUCUCUCUCAAAUCUACUACAUAAAAAUCCAAAAUUUCUCCCAAAAUCACUUACAAAAUUGGAAUCAACCCACAAAGGGAAGAACAACAACCGAUGUUUGAAUGGAUGGGAUGGCCAUCAUCAACGCCAUUGCCAUGGAGAGGUGCUGCGUCUAUCAAUUGAGGCUGUGGAAGAAUUGAUGGUAGCCUUGAAGAGUCCAGCCAAUCCUCUGAUGGAGAGAUGCUCGAAUGGCAAGAUUAUAAAGCUAUGUCUUUUACUCAAUGUGAUCAUUUGUUUUUAAAGUGAAAUUGCUUUAGAAACUAAUUCAAAAGACACGGAUGUUUUAAAAAAAUGGAGAUUGACUCAAGACAUCUCCAAAUGAAAUUUAAAUCCAGAAAUGGAUGGAGCAGAGUCAAUAGUUUCGGCCACCUUCUAGUUGUUUCAAUUUUCUGCAUAACCUUCAUAGGGAGAAAUGAACCAGCUGAAAGAUAUACCAACAAUCGCAGGGCAUGCAUUUAAAUCAGAAGCACAGAUAAAGGUUAGUAAUUUCUACUUGAAAACAAAUUUAGUAAAUGAACCAAGGCAACCUUCAGUAAUCAAAUAUUGCUCUCUUUCUAUUAGAUCCACCAAGGUUGACGUAGGGACAAUUUUGGCUUAAGAUAAGGCUUACUUGCUAGAAAAUUUUUGCUUGCUUGGUCUAGAAUGAUAUGACAUAGUAACUUUCUAUACAUUUUCAAUGAGGAAAAGUCCAUUCCAUUGUAGUCAUAGUAAACUUUGGGUUGAUGAUGUAAUUCACGAGAAUUCGACACAUUUAAGACACUAACAUUGCCUUCAAGAUAACCUAGCCCGUGCAUAGCACGGGUAAAGACUAGUAUAUAUAAGAAUCCUCUUAUUCUCUCCCUUUCCCUAAAAGGUAAAAAUCUUAUCAUUCUUUUUCAUUCUCUAAAUCCAAACGGCUCAAUUUUUUCUUGCUCAAGGUCAUCGACGACGUUAAAGUCCUCCAUUUUUUGUUCAGGCUUGAAGCCAAAUAACCGUUAAUCAGUCCACCUUCGACGAAGAUCACCAUUAAUCUCUUGAGGUUUUAUUUUUUCUUUCUUUUUACAUUUGUUGCUCUCUUCUCUUCUAAUUUUUCAAAUUUAGGGGUAUUUGUUUUUUUUAUUCUUUACAAAUUUGGUCUGAAUUGGUACAAUGUCUCAUUUUUUUGUUGUCUAUUUUUCUAGUGCUAUGAAAAUGUUAACAUUUUGGUUUAUGUAAGUUAUUUAUAAAUGUAUUUCUUACAAUUAUAUUUUUCAUUUUUCUUUCAUGUAAAUAAUGGUUAUUGAUCAUUAUUGGACAAAUUAAGUUUGAGUUUGUGAAAUGAGCCAAGAUUGAAUUAGGGAUAUUCUGGUCAACAUGCACAAAUAAACUCGAUUAAAUGUGUCUUUAUAUGAUUAUUUCGGAUAAUUUAAAUGUUGUUUGAAGUGUUGGAUUAUUAUAUUUUUAUUCUUGAAAAUGUCUUUGCAUUUAUAAUGUCCAUUCUGACAGUAACGAAAUCAUCCGUCUACAGAUGAACUGUCGUCCUCGACAGUUAGACUCUGAAAUUCUCGGCAGUUGAUUGCAGAAGCUAAAUUUUGUUAAGCUUCUCUUCUACAUGUGAUUUUAGAGGUUGAAAUGUAUAAUAUGUCAUUUGAGCAUCGUUAUUACUUCAUGAAUUAUAGACAUAAUAGUUAUGAAUCCAUCUGUACAAAUAAACUGUCAUUCUAGAUAGAGAAGUCACCGAUCCAAAAGGUGUUUGCCUGGAUUAUCGGAGGGUCCAUUGGCUAGCUAGGUAAAUGAGGGGAUUGUCAUCUAGGAAAUGUCAUCUACACCUAAAACUUCUGCAAUUGCGGGAAAUUUGCUGCUUCAUUUAUGCCAUUUCAUUAGAGGAUGACAGCUUAUCAAGGUAACCCAUUUUAUACUUAACACUCUUUCAUGCUGGAUGUUCUAUACUAAACGUACUAGUACUAUAAUUAGAAAAUCGAAAAAUGUUGUUAUACCAUUUACACUGUGAAAAAACGUGACAGUUUGUUGCAAUCUAAAUGUAUGACAUAUUGUUGCAAUAUAAAUUCAGCGGACGCCUAGGAUCACAUGCAAUUCAUAAAUAUCAUUCUUCAUAUUUGUCAGUUAUGACAUAUUUUUGUAACCCAACCCUUUACGACAAGCUUGAGAUCACAUGCAAUUCAAAGAUAAAAACAUCUUAUUCGAAAUUUACGGCAUAUUUCUGCUAUCUUAAUAUACCAUAAGUUUAGGAUCACAUGCAAUUCAAAGAUAUGAUUUGUCAUACUUGUAAUUUAUGGCAAGUGUGGGCAGCCUAAAUUUACCAUAACUUUAGGAUCACAUGCAAUUCAAAUAUAUCAUUCUUCAGUCCACAAGGAUGAUGGUGAGUAUAUCGGGGGCCCGAUUGUGUCAAUUAGGUAGCUGUCAUUGUUAUGUUAGAAAUUUCUCGUAACAGUAGGAUCACAUGCAAUUUAAAGAUAAUUUUAUUUCAAAUUUGUAAUUCAGGACAUAUUUUUAAACAUAGGUUACAUAGAUAUGAGCUCGUACAGACGAAGGUUGGAUACGGGAAACGAGGCUUUGGUCACUUUCAUGAGAAGCGACGAACAGUAACACAGCGUGGAACGUGUUGUACAUGCAUAUAUUCUGUCAACGAUCCGCAUGGAUGAAUUUGUUAUUUUUUCAUAUUGUGUAAUAAUAAAUUACUAUUUCAAAUAUUUUAUGUGGCAUUUAUUUGAAACUGUUAAGUAUAUUUGAAAUUUAUGUACAAUAACCCUUCGUUUGCAAUGAAGCCACUUGGAUCGCACUACUA